AAAUAAAUAAUAGUUCUUAUGGAUAAUGGAUAUGGAUUAUUAUCACCUUUUUAUCUGGAUUUUUUCAUUAAAAUUUAUCUGGAUAAUAUCGAAGUUUAAAAUGCAAGGUAUGAUCAAUGAUGUUUUCCUAUUUCUAAUCUGUCACUUAGUAUUGA